UGGACUGAACCACUGAACUGUAAGCCAGCC
rnacentral:piRNA from 1 species